rnacentral:rRNA from 1 species
AUUGAACGCUGGCGGCAGGCCUAACACAUGCAAGUCGAACGAGUGGCGGACGGGUGAGUCAUGUCUGGGAAACUGCCCGAUGGAGGGGGAUAACUACUGGAAACGGUAACUAAUACCGCAUACCAUCGGAUGUGCCCAGAUGGGAUUAGCUAGUAGGUGGGGUAACGGCUCACCUAGGCGACGAUCCCUAGCUGGUCUGAGAGGAGGACCAGCCACACUGGAAAUGAGACACGGUCCAGACUCCUACGGGAGGCAGCAGUGGGGAAUAUUGCACAAUGGGCGCAAGCCUGAUGCAGCCAUGCCGCGUGUAUGAAGAAGGCCUUCGGGUUGUAAAGUACUUUCAGCGAGGAGGCGUUACUCGCAGAAGAAGCACCGGCUAACUACGUGCCAGCAGCCGCGGUAAUUC